rnacentral:rRNA from 1 species
GUAGGGAAUAUUGGUCAAUGGACGAAAGUCUGAACCAGCCAUUCCGCGUGCAGGAAGAAGAUUCUAUGGAUUGUAAACUGCUUUUAGCAGAGAAGAAACGCCUUCAUUGAUGAGGGUUUGACGGUAUCUGCGGAAUAAGCACCGGCUAACUCCGUGCCAGCAGCCGCGGUAAUACGGGGGGUGCAAGCGUUAUCCGGAAUCACUGGGUUUAAAGGGUGCGUAGGCGGGAAAUUAAGUCAGUGGUGAAAGUCUGUUGCUUAACGAUAGAAUUGCCGUUGAUACUGAUUUUCUUGAAUUGGGUUGAGGUUAGCGGAAUGUGACAUGUAGCGGUGAAAUGCAUAGAUAUGUCAUGGAACACCAAUUGCGAAGGCAGCUAGCUGGGCCUUGAUUGACGCUGAGGCACGAAAGCGUGGGUAGCGAACAGGAUUAGAAACCCGUGUAGUCC